ACCGGGCUCUUGAUUAGCUCUGGGAAUGGUGACAUUGAAGGUCUUCACCGCGGAUACUGUGGAGGAUGCUUCAGACUCGGUGCCCCCACCCCCACACGGACGGGGUGCAAGAACCUGCGCGGUCGCGAUGCAGCCUGCGCACUUAGGGACAGGACCCUUCAGCGGUCCGGUGCGAGGCCACUGCUCUGGGAUUUCUGGCGGCCCAGUGCUGAUGGGGGUUCUGUAAUCCAUCUGCCUGGAAUGAGACCCUCGCUUCCGGCAGCCUACACAACAGGGAAGCUGUGAGCAGAACAGCCAUGUUCACAUCAUUUGAACAAUACGAACAAGCAAAUCCGCCGUCAUCAUGGAUGCGUGGAAGGGAAGGGCCCAUGCUGUGUCUACCACGAACCAGGACACUUCACGUUCCACUGGCCGGUGAGCGUCAGUAACCUGGAGACAGGCCUACCGUGCCAUAGUUGGUCGGGAGUUGGUGAGAAUGAUGCCAAAGCUUGAUCCUGAGAAGCGGGAAUGAGAGGUGUCUACCUGGAGGAAGGCACGGAGAGGAACAGACUUGAGGAUGAUAAUCAUGACUUUGGACAUGGUUGAGUUGGAGGCAUCUGGCAGACACCAAAGUGGAGAUGUUGGGUUGGCAGCUGUAUAUAAAACCAUUCAAUUAUGUCUGACAGUCAUUACCUUUACAAAAUCUAAAUCUUAAUGCUUUUUUCCUUUGAAUUCUUUUGUGAAAAUAACUGCUAUCACUUUCAUUUUAUGUCAUUGAUAAUAAAUGGCAACU